UUUAAAUGACACUCCUCUCACCAGUUAGAUCCCUAACUUCUCUCAAACCCUAACUUCAUCUCUCUCUCUCUCACCUACCGUCAUCUCUCUCUCUCUCUCACCCACCUUACCUUCGUCUCUCUCUCACCCACCUUCAUCUCAUCAACGAAAUCUCCGGCAUUCAUCUUCGGAUCUGAAAUUCAUCUUCGUAUUUUCGGAUCUCCGGCAUACAAGUCGACGAGUUCUUCGUGUUUUCGGAUCUUCAACAUUUGCGUCCGGCCCAAAACGAAGUUCAUCUCUCUCUCUUCCUCUCCCUCUCUUUCACUCGCCGAAAUUCAUCUUCGAAACUCGACGAGUUCGUUUCAGUUCGCCGAAAAUGAAUGGAGUUGAAUUUUGAUUUCGCCGACAAGUUCGUUUCAUCUUGGAAACUCGACGAGUUCGUUUCAUCUUCGAAACUCGACGAGUUCGUUUCAGUUCGCCGACAAGUUCGUCUCUCUCUUUCAGUUUGCUUCAGUUCGCUGAAACUCGACGAGUUCGUUACAGAUCAGGGGAGCGAGUUGUGAAGAUCUGGUUUUUCUCGAAGUCUUGUAGUUGCGUUUGAGGUGAAGAUCUGGAUUGCUAUGAAGAUUGCGUUUGAGUUUUGUAUUUUUAUUUUUAAUUUAUCUCCCCUUCAUCUUCUUCUUUUUUCUAUUUUUGAUUUAGUUUCUUGAUUGUUCUGUUCUCUCCGUUUGUUAUUUUUUUGUAUAUUUUAGUUUUAGAUCUGAUGUUAGUAGUAAUGGUGAUAUUUUUUUCUUGUAAUUUUUUCAAUUAAAAUUAUAUAAAACCAUGUAACUUCUAGUA